UACGGGGGGAGCAAACGUUGUUCGGAAUCACUGGGCGUAAAGCGCGUGUAGGCGGCUUUGCAAGUCGGAUGUGAAAGCCCACGGCUCAACCGUGGAAGUGCAUCCGAAACUGCAUGGCUCGAGUCUCGGAGAGGAAGGUGGAAUGCUUGGUGUAGAGGUGAAAUUCGUAGAUAUCAAGCAGAACACCUGCGGCGAAGGCGGCCUUCUGGACGAUGACUGACGCUGAGACGCGAAAGCGUGGGGAGCAAACAGG
rnacentral:rRNA from 1 species